UCUCUAAGCAAUGGAUGUCUUGCUCCUCACACGAUGAAGAACGUGGCAUAAUGUUUAAUAACCGGAGUUGCAAACAUCAUGACAGUUAAUCUUUGAAUGCAAAUUGCGCUAAACUCGAUCUCGGUCGAGAAGCAUGGGUGACAGUAC
rnacentral:rRNA from 1 species